UAGUAAGAUGUUAGUGUGAUAUUCUUGUUGAUUUGGAGCAUUUGAUUUUCAAUUUAGUUAAGUUUUUGAUUUGUCUCAGUUUUAGAUUUUUUUUUGCAGGAUGUAGUUUGUGUUGAUUUAUGGAGAUAAAGGUGGUGUUGAAGGUGUAUGAGUGAUGUAGAAGUUUUAGAGGUUGAGGUUUAUGAGAAAAUGGUAGUGAUGUUGUUUGAAUAAAAAUUCUUUUA
rnacentral:lncRNA from 1 species